UAUACAUCAUGUCGUCUGUUCGGUAGAAGCCUGGCUCUCACUGUCACUGGGGUUGUUUACUUCCUGCUCAGUGUCCUUGUUGUUGUAAGUCGAUAAAAACUAAUAGCAUGGAAAUAUAUGGAAGCAGGUCCUGUUGGGAGAGUGCAGUAGGGGGCUCCUUCACAAGAAGUCAUCAUAAUCUAGAUUUGUCUGUUCAAGGUACACAUACUACAACUUGCUUUAUAGAGACAUUUUUACAAUCAAGAGUGGAGACGACAAAGAGGUCCA